rnacentral:tRNA from 1 species
UAGGAAAUAAUAUAGGGGAAGUAUAGAGAGGUUUGAUCUCUUUCGCGUAGGUUCGAUUCCUACUUUUCUAA